AUGCUCCGCCUCCGGUGCUCCAUCCUCGCCCAGAUCCUCUCGUCUCACUCGGCCUCUCCCUCCCCCGAACUCUGGCGCCUCAUCUCUGCUGCCACGCCCGCCAUCUCCCCGAGCCCUAGCUUCGCUGUGGAGGAGUAUCUCGUGCAGACCUGCGGCCUCACCCGAGCCCAGGCCCUCAAGGCCUCGGCGAAGCUCUCGCACCUCAAGUCCCCCUCCAAGCCUGACGCCGUCCUUGCCUUCCUCGCCGAUCUCGGCCUCUCCAGCGCCGAUGUCGCCUCCGUCGUCGCCAAGGACCCGCGGUUCCUCUGCACCGGCGUGGACAGAACUCUGGUCCCCGUCGUCUCCGGGCUCACCAAUCUGGGCCUGCCGCGUCCCAAGAUCGCGCGUCUUGUCUCGCUCGUCGGCAGAUUCUUCCGCAAUAAAUCCGUCGUUCCCAAGCUGGAGUACUACCUGCACCUCUUCGGCUCCUCCGACAACCUCCUCCGGGCGCUCAAGCGCAGCUCCUACUUUUUCAGUUACGACCUCGAGAGGAUUAUCAAGCCCACUGUCGUGUUACUGCGGGAGUGCGGCCUAGAUGAUUGCCACAUUGCCAAGCUGUGCACGGAUAAACCGGGGUUGCUCAUCACCAACCAUGAGCGUGUCCUAGAGAUGGUGGCAUGCGCCGACGGUCUCGGUGUGCCCCGUGGAUCUGGGAUGUUCUGGCGUGCCCUGAAGGCUGCUGCAUCUAUCCGCCAGGAGAAUAUGGCCGCCAAAGUGGACUGCUUGAAGAACACCUUCAGGUGGUCGGAUGCUGAGGUGGGCAUUGCUGUUUCUAACGCUCCACAGCUGCUGCCGAGUUCCAAGGAAUCGCUGCAGCGCAAGUCCGAGUUCCUGAUCUCUGAGCUGGGGUUGGAACCGUCAUACCUGGCUCAUCGGUCGAUGUUGCUCACUUAUAGCGUGGAGGGCCGGAUGAGACCUCGGUACUACGUUGUAAAGUUUCUCAGGGAAAAUGGGCUGCUCAAGCGCAACCCAGGCUACUAUACUGUUUUCAACAUUACCGAGAAGAUUUUCAUGGGGAGGUUCAUAUGCCCUCACACGGAAGCUGCACCGUACCUUGCUGAAGACUAUGCCGCCGCUUGCAGAGAGGAAAUGCCCGCUAGAUUCAUAUUUACAUGA
rnacentral:rRNA from 1 species